AUGGCUGUCCUGCUGCUGCUCCUCUGCCUGGUGACAUUUCCAAGUUGUGUCUUUUCCCAGGUACAGCUGAAGGAGUCAGGACCUGGCCUGGUGAAGCCCUCACAGACCCUGUCUCUCACCUGCACUGUCUCUGGAUUCUCAUUAACUGACAGUUAUAUGCACUGGGUUCGCCACCCUCCAGGAAAGAAUCUGGAGUGGAUGGGAUUAAUAAGGAAUAAUGGAGACACAAAGUACAGUUCAGCUUUCCAAUCUCGAAUAAGCAUCAGCAAGGACACCUCCAAGAGUGAAGUCUUCUUAAAAUUGAACAGUCUGUACACUGAAGACACAGCCAUAUAUUACUGUGCCAGAGACACAAGUUGGGAGGACCUUGAUGUUUGGGGUCAGGGGACCCUGGUCACCGUCUCCUCAGCCUCAACAACAGCCCCAUCUGUCUAUCCACUGGCUCCUGGAUGUGGAAGCACAACCGGCUCCACAGUGACCCUGGGAUGCUUGGUCAAGGGCUUUUUCCCUGGGCCGGCGACAGUUACCUGGAACCCUGGAACCCUGACCAGCGGUGUGCGCACCUUCCCAUUGGUCCAGGAUUCUGGGCUCUACUCCCUCAGCAGCUCGGUGACUGUGCCCUCCAGCAUGUGGCCCAGCCAGACUGUCACCUGCAACGUCGCCCACCCGGCCAGCCGCACCAAUUUGAGCAAGAAAAUUGAGCCCAUCAUCGUACCUCCCCAGUGUCCAUCUAACAUCGAUGUCUUCAUCCUCCCUCCAAAACCCAAAGAGACACUCCUGAUCUCCCUGAUCCCCAAGGUCACAUGUGUGGUGGUGGAUGUGAGCGAGGAAGAACCAGAUGUUCAGAUCAAGUGGUUUGUGAACAAUGUCGAAGUGUACACAGCUCAGACACAGCCUCCUGAGCUGCUGAGCAACGGAACCCUCCGCGUGGUCAGUGUCCUCCCCAUCCAGCACAAUGACUGGCUGAGUGGCAAGGAGUUUAAAUGCAAGGUCAACAACAAAGGCCUCCCAGGCCCUACUGAGAGAACCAUCUCAAAACCCAAAGGGCAACCUAGGGUACCUCAAGUAUACGCCAUACCUCCACCUCGAGAACAAAUGUCCAAGAAGAAGGUUAGUCUGACUUGCAUGGUCACAGACUUCUUCCCUGACGCCAUCAGCGUGGAGUGGGAAAGGAACGGGGUGCUGGAGCAGAACUACAAGAACACCCCACCCAUUCUGGACUCAGAUGGGUCCUACUUCCUCUACAGCAAGCUCACUGUGGACACAAACAGCUGGUUGCAAGGAGAGACUUUUACCUGUUCUGUGGUACACGAGGCUCUGCAUAACCAUCACACGCAGAAGAACCUCUCCCGCUCCCCUGGUAAAUGAGCUCAAACACCCAGCCAGACAUUGGGUCCUACAAGACACUGUUACCAGCCCUACCCCAUAACCCUGUAAAUAAAGCACCCAGAGAUAUCCUGGGAUCCUCUGA